AACAAGAAAAAGCAAUAGCAGUAACUUCCUCUUCUCUCUAUUCCUCCACGCCAUAACCUCUUUCCUCCAAUUCAUCCCCUUCAUCAAUUACAACAACGGCACUAUCGAACCAUCAUCUGUUAACCAAUAUCUAGCAUACUCCACCGCCUUCCUCCAUCAAUAUACUACCUCACCUUCUAUCACAACGUUCAUCAUCACCAACAACAUUCCACAAGCAGUCCGCUCCACCUCUAUCUCUUCUCGUCAUCACCGUAACCUACUGUCUGAUUUCCGCAAGCCGCUCUCCAAUUUCCGGCAACCGCAAUCACAAACAACCUCCGCCAAUCGCUCUUCCAUGAUUUCCAGCAGCAGCUCCAACAUGCUUCUGCCAUAG